rnacentral:tRNA from 9 species
GCCGCCAUGGUGAAAUCGGUAGACACGCUGCUCUUAGGAAGCAGUGCUAGGGCAUCUCGGUUCGAGUCCGAGUGGCGGCA